UUAAAAGGAGAGGCUUGCAGAAGUGCAUCUGUAGUUAUUGGUUGUUGUAGACAAAUUUCCUUUAGAUGAUCACCGAAAACACUUAGUGUGAUAUAGUGUCCUCCGGGGCGGGUAAGUAGAAGUUUAGCUCGUACUUGUCUCUUGCAGAGGGUGAUUUUUUUAACUAAACAGCAAGUUGUGCAGGUUCCAGAUGUGUCAUUUGUUGGUUGGACUUUGCUGUUACAGACAAAGCAGAUCAGGAAAUUGUCAAAUGAUAGUACUCCUGCAACUUCGGAGUCACUGAUUUGGUCGUAUGUAUUUCACUGUUGUCUCGAUUCAUCUUGUAAGCUUCUUUAUGUCUUGAUACAAGUUGGUAAGGAUCAUGACGUCCAAAAGAAAAUCAUUGUGUUGGUAAGGAUCAUGACGUCCAAAAGAAAAUUACCGGUCCUCCUCCAUGACAAGGUAGCUUCGCUCGCCCCAAUAAUUCAGUAAGAUAAAAGCCACGCAGACUGUACCGCAAUGAGAGGCACUGCAGCUCUUCUGUUCAUGUUGUUAGCAGUCUGCAACUGUCAAAAUAACUUGCAAAGCUCCAGGGCCUGCACUACCGAAUAUGAUGUCAGACUACAAGAUUCACUUUCAGCUAGGUCUGGGAGGAUAGAGGUGUGUAUCGAGGGACAUGGUCCACCAUUUGCCCUGUUCAUGACUUCUAUAAUAUAGGUGAUACCGUAUGCAGACAAUUGAGCUUCUGCGAUGGAGGAGAUGCCUGGAUUGUUUUUCAAUCGUCAUCAUCGUCAUCUUUGGAAGUUGAUUGCCUUGGACAUAAAGAACUGUUGAGUGAUUGCUAUUUUUAUGACUAUCCCUGUUCAUGUAUUGUUUAUGUUGAUUGUGGUGGACCUAAAGGUUUGUUCAGUGAUAUUAUAAUUUAUUAAUAGUAUUGUGUUAAAUUGUAUAUGGAAUUGUAUUACAGUUCCACCUUCUCCAUCACUCCCUUCAAUAACUAUUGAUAGUGCAACCUCAUUCACACUCGUGUGGGGUCAGAAUCAGAGCUCAUACGAAUGCAGAAAUGUGAUCGAUGGCUAUAGAGUUAAUUGUACAGCUUUUGGGUGUUCUAGUUUGAGUGGGUCAACAACACAAACCACUCUCACCUUUAAUUCUGCUGAUGGUGUUACUAGCUGCAACUAUCGAUGCUGCAUCCAAAGCUACAACAAUGCUGGAAGUAACUCUUCAACAUGCAUCUCUCUGCCUGUUCCAGGUAGACCCAAUUCUGUGCGGGGAAUUAUCCAGAGCUCACAGUCAGUCCAAAUAUCGUGGUUACCCCCAUUGUCAAACUACCAAUACAUCACUGGAUAUAGGGUUUCCUACAGAAAUUGCCCAUUUUGUACAUUAUUAUAUAUGGACGUAAAUGGUGCUACAUCUAGAAAUUUAAAUAUAAAUAAUCUGGUACCCAGCACAAGGUACACUUUCAGCGUGAUAGCUAAAAGUGUAGUUGAUUCGAAUCCAAGCAGUUCCAUCACUAUAACCGUAGGUAAGCCUUCAAACCUCUCAGUGAGUAUACAUUCUCUUCACAACCCUUAAUGUUUCUAUAAUUAUAUACAGCUCCCCCUAGUGCUCCACCAUGGCUGCUUGCAACAAAUCCGAGCCCUACCUCUUUUACUUUGAACUGGAACAGACCUCGCAGCACGUACAAUCAACCAUACAGUUUCACUAUCAGCUGCGACGAGACCUCCUACAGCAACACUGGAGCACAACUAAUAGCAACACUGAACUUAAAUAGUGUGUCAUACACUGUUAGUUCUUUGCAGCCAGAUGCUACGUAUCAAUGUUGUGUGUCAGCUGCGAACAAUGCUGGGGAAAGCACUACUUGCAUUGUUACGGAUACCAUGG